AAGGAAAAGGCACAGCUAAGAUGAGUUUGUGAUGCAUUGUUCAUGUUGGUGCUAGUCGCCUUAGCAUUGUGCUUGAAAUGUAUUGUUGCAAACAUUGUGGCACAAAAUGUGGUAUGACAUUUUCCAGUCUUGAUGGGACUAAUGGCUUGAUCAACUGGCACAAACUGCUCCUUUUCGCUCGGGUUGUUUCUGUGGGACAAGGAAGAGUGAUAGUUGACUCCCCCAGCUCGUCGGUAUCGCACACUCGAAACGCCUGAGAACGCAUGCCAGCUAUCUCGGCCUGUGGCACUCACUGCUGCCAAAAUAUCCGCCAAGGAAAAGCAUGUUUCUGAAGAGGGGCCCACUAUCUCUUGCUUCUCCUGCUUAUGUCUUUAAGUGUGUUAUCACCCUGGUCUUGGGACGUAGUGGCUUGCAAGAACCAGCGUGUUCCAUUGCCCUUUCCACAAUGCUUCUUGCUCUAUUGGUGCUGUGCACAGAUUCGAGUCUCUUGGGUCACAGUUUGCUCAGGACUCGAGUGCGGAGGUGUAACAGUCCGUUGGUCUUGCAUGACUACGUGCUCUCUUGUCUGGGGGCAAAACUACCACGAGCAUUUGCCGUCUCUCAGACGCGCACCCGGGCCAACACUGGGUGAAGGCCCUUUGUGGAGGCCUUUGAAGCUGGGCACUGUAGCCUGGGACAUACAAAGCGAGCACUUGAAACGAACCUUUGAUCUCGACCAGAGCCGUUUCAGCAAACGAAAGGGAUGAAGUCUUGUGCACACCUUGUCUCUCUACUCCUAGUCUUGGCAGAUGGCAAACUUCUCGCCAAUGCCAAAGAAUGCAACCAAAGUGAAAACAUGCUGGUACCAGGGCACUGGUACCAGUACGAGUUUCACAUCAAAGCGGAAGCAGCAUCUGUGGGCAGCACCGACGAUGUCAGCGAAAUGAACUUGGCAUGCCAGAUCAAGCUCUCCCACAUUGGCACCUGCAAGUAUGUGUUCGAGGUUCAGGAAUGUGCGUUCUCAUCUGGAGGUGGCCCUGCUGGUGACAAGGAGCUGUGGACAGAGCGCGAUGACCUCACGGAGAUGACGAAGUUCCCUGUUGUAAUGUCGCUCUCUGACGGUGUGGUGACUGGACUGGAAGUUUCGCCCUCUGAGUCGGAACACAUACUCAACAUCAAGCGUGCCCUGAUUUCAGCCUUUGUAUUAAAGAAGUCGCAUAUGAGAGAAGGAGCCGCGACAUCGCGUGUGGACAUUCACGGAACCUGUCCUUGGAAGAUGUGGCCUGGCACUGAGCCAGGGAUGGCACACAGCUCCAAAGACAUGCUUUACUGUGCCUACCCCGAGAGGCCUGAUUGGAACCUGAGUCCUUGGGCCAUCAUGUGGAACUUGCAUUUCAUUCAGUACCUGAUAAAUUCCACGGUUGACUGCACCUACCGUGCUUCCACGCAUGGUGACCACUUGGAGUCUCUUAGCUGCCGUGAGAGGCAUGCCAUCAAACUGGAAUCCACACACGACACCACAACAGCCGUCCAAACCAAUGUCUUCUACAAUAUGUUGCUGAACUCUCGGGGAGCCACUGAGGCAUCAUCCAACGACCUCGGUGACCUCCUUGACUUGGUACCAGCAGGAAUCGCUUUCAAGCACCUUCCCACGCCAGACCCAACACAAGCAAGACUUCAUGAAAGUGAGAAGGCGAGACUGGAAAGUGCGGCACGCAACAAGCUGGCCGAGCUCGUCUCUACGGCCGAAACAGAUGUCAGGCUGUAUACAAUUCCGCUCUUUCAUGAGUUCAUUGAACUGUUGAGGGAAAUGGACAAUCUGCUCGACUUUGUCGACUCUGUUGCCAACUGUGACCGCAGGCCAGAUGACACUGGUGUUGGUGAAAACUUGUGCACAGAGAAGUGGAAGACGCCGGCGAUGUCCUUCCUGAAAGAUGCCCUGAUACAGAGCAACACAGUGCCGACACUGCAUGCGUUCCGUCAUCUCGUGACCAAUGGCCACGUGAGCCAGGCCUACCUGCCACUUGCAUUCCACUGCUGGAGUUUUCUGCGCAACAAUGACACGCGCUACCUGGAGGAAGUCUUUGAAAUCUGCAAGUCAACUGAGCACCGGAUGUGUUGGCUUCUCUUGGGACGUAUGGUGCGAAAGUAUCACACCAACAAUGAAGACAAGAACGCAGUGCUGCCUGUGUUCGACCCCAUCUUCAAACACAUUACUGCUUUUCUCGGCAGAAACUGUGAUAUCAGCACAGCAUCUUAUCCACCCUUGUACACCAAGCCACAGAAGAUAAACCACCUUAUCAUGAUGCUGAAGGCCCUGAAGAAUGCGGGUGCCAUAGCACAGGUUGCCAGCCGUGAUUUGGAAGAAACACUGAUGGGCUGUGCUCAAAACCGAGAGUUGCCCAUUCCAGUUGCUGUGUUUGCAAUCGAGGCUAUGCACGACUUUUGGCCAACGUACGACACCUUGUCGUCAGCGAAAAGCCUGCUUGGGGACCGCACGAGGCCGUGGGAGCUGCGCAUAGCAGUGUACAAGUUCCUGACCAGGGAGCCGGACCGCUGGAAGUUUGGCAAGGCGGUCAGCAAUGCACUGGAUGGCGAGCCGCUUCACUCAGAGUUGGUGGACUACGUCGUGUCAGACUUUCUCGACUCUCUUCCUGCAGAAAUGAAGGCAGCAUUGGAGGAAGGCAAGUUUGACACCGACAGCGUCAUCCCCGGAGAAAGGUUCUACACCUCUGAGAGUCACUAUGGCAGUGACAAACUUCGCAAGUCAAACCGCCGAACACUUGAGAGACACAUCAGGUUGCAUUUCUUGCCAGCUGAGCUGAGCGACUUUGCUGUGAAGAUUGACUCUGAAGAAGUGUACGGCGGCUGGCGAAACCUUCUCUCGGACCUCUCCAGAAAUGUCAGCUUGCAGCUGUUUGGCACCAAGUUUCAUUUUGCUGACAUCACUGUUUUCCUCAAAGAGAUAGAGCAGUUUGUGCUUGGCACCGCAAAGCUCAAAGACGGCCAGUGGCGCGCUGACUGGGAGGCCUUCUUCGACCUUCUUCUGCCGAAAGGUGGCGCUACCAGACUGAAGCAGCCACUGAGGCAUUUUCCGAAGCUCCAGGAGGGAUUGAAAAAGAUCCUGGAUGCCAUGCCACCGGUCGGGCGAAUGUCACUGACACCUGUCGUUGAUUUGAGCAUGUUUGGCACAGACCUGACGUUCUCAAGCUAUGGCGAAAUCAUUACAGCCUUCAUCAGUGCAUUCAUGCCACCCGAGCCCUUGCAUGAGCUGUUGAGACAACCUCGGUCAUUCAACAUUAUGCGCACCAUUCGUCUAAUCGAGGGCUACCACCAGGUGCCAACCAUGCUGGGUUUGUCACUCAAUUGGACUACCAGUGCUACCCUGGUGACGUCAUUGAGAACUGAGGCACAUCAGGCCAGCCCUAGCAACCUUGCUUUCAAAGUGCAUCCCAGUGGAGCGCUGACGUUCCUGAAUCGCAUGGUGCUCGAUUUCCCUACGAAGACGCGAAUGGGAGUCCAGGCCAACAGCUCUGCCUACACAACUACUCAACUCAAUGCCUUGUUGAAUCUGCAGCAGCACUCCGCCCACUUUGAGGUUGAAAUUCCAAGCAAGGAGCAGAAGAUCCUUCAGCUUGUACGCACUAAUCAGAUGAUCAAGCAUGACCGCAUUGAAGAAAUGGGUGACUGGAAUGUUCAGCGUGUCAACGUUGACUGGUGCACUGGUGAUGGUCUUGGGCAUGCCACGGGCUUGCAGUUUUGUCACGACCGGUCAUAUGUCAAUGUCACUCACCUGAUGAGACCAUGGUUCCUCAUGGCUGCGCCCGCCAGCUGGCAAUUUGUGCUGAAGCCAUACAGCAAAGAUAUAACAGCGCUUGCAGUCACUGCAGUACUUCCAUCAAAACACAACAAACUCAAGAUUGAGGUCAUCACAAAAGCCACAUUGCCAAAAAAUCUGCUGAUAUAUCAGACUAAAGCUGAUGGUGGGUUUGAGCUUGUCGUUCCUGACGUGCCUUUCCUGAAGGCAGCCAUGAAGAAAAGAAAUUCUGAUAGUCAAGAUGGAAGCAGUGCAGUUGUGACGGAAUAUGUCCUUGGCUAUGCACCGGGGCAGCAUCUUGUCCUCAUCUAUGAGGACCGGUCCAAGCAAGAACAGAGGCAGAAGCCAACCAAGGAGGCCAACCGCAUCCCCAGUGGACAGAUGGUGACUGUUAGUGUGAGACAGAGAUCACUGAACGUGCAAACCAACUCCAACACCUAUGGACUUUCUUGGACUGUGAACACACAGUCAUCCGGAGUCAAGCAGGAGCUGAGAUUCAAUUUUGAAAGGGGACCAGACGGCAGCAUGGCCUGGCUGAGGGAGCUGCUAGCAGACGAGUUUUUCACUGAAGACGGUUCUGGAGGCUGGGUUCAUGUUCUCCUUCAUUGGAAGGUGCCUACCACCCUUGGAAAACAUAAGGUGGUGCAAUCCUCGCACAGUCACGUGUCAACUCCUAAGACAUCACUUGACCUGACAACUUACUUCCUCGAGUCCAGGUCACGGCACCUCCUCCAAGUGAACCUCACCAAACUAGAAAAGGCCACACGGAGGCUCCUGGCCUUUGCCAACUACACCCAGGAGCACUGGAUGCAUAUGAAAGGCGACUUGACAAAGCGCAGUGCCCUCUACAACCUCACCAUUUCUCACCACUCCUGGGCUCUCAAGUUUGAGGAAGAAUCUCGGAAGAGCUCAGCGGAAGUCAAGGGACAGCUCAUGCUACUCAUCGAGAAAAUGCAAAGGCGUCAAUCCGAUUGGGAAUUCUUUAGUACAUGGUGGCAUCCCAGCACCAGCCAUCUUUUUGAGGCCAAACAUGGGAAGACCAAACUUUUGUGGUUAACGAGACCUGUGCACAGGGGGGGCUCCAAGAAGGGUUUGCACGCAACAGCACUGGAGGCUACAUUGCAACACCAUGCUGCAGACGAAGAGCCUUUUGCACUGGAGCUUAAUGGAAAUCUGACACUGAUGCCUUCUGGCGUGGAGGUGGGCUGGCUGCUGGGUUCACCCAACAGCGACCUCAAGUGGGAGGUGUACUCAAAGUAUGCUGGGCCGGCGGCAAAAGGUGGCAGCCUUCCCUCCGAGGUCACCUAUCUCUCCGCCAUCCACCGGAGGGACAAGCCGUUCGGUGCAUACAGGCUGCAGGUGAGAAGUUCCAUGGAGCCAUGUCUGACGUGGGAACUCAGGCACAACAUCACCUCGGAGCCAUGGUUGUACACUUCGAAUGUCACCUACGCUUGCGACCCGCUGACGUAUGGAACAGAUGUGGCCAAGUCGCACAUGAACGUCACAGUUUUCUCAAAAUCGCCGAUUUGGGAACUACUGAAUAUGGACCUGAACCAGGUCUUCGAGCUUGGCACAUCUGGCUACGAAUCUAUGAAUUUGACAUCUGCCCUUGGUAAAGUGGUUGUGACUGGUCAGUGGGAUGCGCACUCUUUGGUGAAAGAGUCAAGGUUUACUGACAAGAGCUCAAACUGGAUUCCAUUGGAAACAGUUUACAAUGAAGAGAAGGACAACUGGAUCUUUGACGUGAAGUUGACGCCUCGCAAGGCAUCCACGGCAUUCAAGAUGAUGAAACUUUCCAAACGGUUUAGGCGAAGUGGUGCAGCCAUAUUUUAUGAUGCCAGAAUCAUCAGCAAGCAUCAGGACUCGGACCCACAGGCCCAGGAGCUGAAUGUAUUCCAGGCAGUAGUUGUGCCCCGCAAGUCGGAGAAGGCAGUUCGAGCUCUGGCAAACAAGGCUGUGAUUAAGGAGCUGCUCGAAGUCACGGCAGCAUACACGAACGUGGUCAUUGCCUCCCUCUACAACCCAAGGCAUCCUUUCAACCUGAUAGUCUACCAACUGACAGGAGCUACUGCAGGAGAGAUUUUGGACAGAGAGAGAGAGAAGGUACACAGCAUGCUUGCAGAAUCAUGGAAGAUGUCGUACCAAGUGCUGGGAACAUUCCAUGCCAUUUACGAUCCUGUCAUCUACAGCAGCUCUGCGUUGGUCAGGAAAGCAGCUACGGGUUUGGGUGCAACACACGAAGCCUUUAACCAAACAAUUCCUGGCUGGGCCUUCUACUACUUCAACCUCGACAGGGUUCUCAAUUACACUGCCCAUCACAUACCCGAGCUGUCAGCACAGCUGGCCACGAUCUACUUUACGCGGCCAGCCAGAAUUCCAGGAAUGGUGGAAUUCUCUGCCGACAUGCCGUCCCUUCCUUCGUAUGGUAGUGUUGAACAUCUGGUCAAGAAUCUUCUACGGAACCAGCGGCCAGAAUCGUGGUCGCUGCCUCAACUAGAGAAAGGCCAGAAGGUGGCGGCCAUCUUCGGCAGUGGGCACGUGGUGACCUUUGACGGCAUGUUCCUCGAGUUCCCCAGCUACCCAGCUUCGUACUGCACAUACCUUCUCGCGCACGAUGUUGGCGGUCGCCAGUUUACGCUGACAACCAGUGCCGAUGACCUGCUGAUCGACUUUCCGGAAGUUGCCCUCACAAUUUCGGGACAGGAAGGCAGAGUGCUUGUGAAUGGAAGCGAUGCACUCAUUCAUCUUCCUCUUGUGCUUGGAUCGGGGCAAGUGGAUGUGUACCGGGAGGGUCACCUAGUGAGAGUUCGAGGACAUGGCUUGACCGUUUAUUGUGACGCCACCAAGUUCUUCUGCACAUUCGUUUUGGACCAGUUUCACCAUGGCAACCUUCUUGGCACACUUGGCAAUGCAGAUGGCAAUGCUGGCAAUGAAUAUGAGCUUCCCAAUGGGCAAGUCGCCAAGGACGCCGCGCAGCUUGCCGCCGGCUACGAAAUGAGUGGCUAUGCGGAGUGCAGGGCACUGCUCAACCCCAUCAAGAAUAUGCAGGAGAACAUGGAGGAGUGCCGCCAGCGGGUGCCGCAGACCCUCAAGCACUGCCUGAUGAAAACCAACAUGGAGGAGCUGUUCCAGGAUGCCUGCUCUUGGGACGUCAGCCACCGUGCAAGCACUUGCACCAGCAUCAAUGCCAUGGCGGCCUUCUGCACUCACCACGGCUACUGGGUCGACAACCUGCACUGCGACCAUUGCCUGAACUUGCCAGAAGCACAAGGCCAGAAGACCUUCCGCGUCAAGUCUGGGCCUCUCCUGGAGGUGGUCGUGCUCUUGGCCGAGAGUUCGUUCGAUCCUCGGGUGGCCACCUUGGUGCUUGCCGGCACUCAGAAGCUGGUGGAUGCUGUGGACGCGUCGUUCAAGGCACAUGGUCACAACACCAAGUACGCCUUUGUGCUCAGUGGUGGUGGCCACGGUCACCACUACCAGAGCCCUCACCUGCGCACAACAGCCAAGGAUGUCUUUGUGUCGCACACUGAGGCUGCUGGCAAGCUCCUGAGGAGUGUGGGCCAGAGCAGCAAGAUGGCAGCCGCUGACCUUGCACUCACCCUUGACUAUGCCCUGGACACCGUGCCUUUCAGCACUGAAGCAGCGAGGGUGGUUCUGGCCAUUUCUGCUGGCGACUUCAAUAGCUCACGAAGCGAGCUGGACAUGCUUCACGACAAGGUGCUGUCCUCUGGUGUCACCCUGUAUGCCUUCUCCGACUACCCAACUGUGGACCAGCGAGGCCGUGUGUAUGGAUUGCGUGCUGACGGGCUCGUCUUUCCCGAGAGCUCGGCUGGCGAGGAGUACCUCGAUUACCCGUCUAGGGCUGGCCUGCUCGCUAAACUUGCUGCUGCCACCAGAGGAUCUGCUUUCCAGGUCCAGUUUGUAGAGGCUGGCUUGCCUGCCGAGUUCUUCACCGUGGUGGCCGAGGAAAUCUUUGCCAAGGUUGGCAAGGAAGCCAGGGGCUGCAGAGAGUGUGGAUGUGACCGGGGUCGUGCGUGGAGCCCCGUAGCUCGGUGCAGGCCAGUCGGCUGCUGAGCCACUCUUUGCUGCCUUCAGAUGUGCCAAGCAAGUUCAAGCAACAGCUGUAACUUGGGAUUUCCCUCUAGGUGCAACAGUGAGGAACUCUAUGGGCGUGCCAUGCUUCUCAUUUUGGAGGCCACACAAGACUUCUUGGCAGUGGCAAUAGAUGGCGCAGCGUGUGCAGAAAUAAGUGCAAUGGAGGAGCCGGUUGCCGCACGACACAUUUCUCGGCAUUUGGACGCACCGGCUAGCCAUGCAUUUCAGAGGGCACGCGCAGGCAGCAGCACCAGAUGGCGCCGAGUGUUCUUGUGGAAGCGCGAAAGGGGAAUCCCGCAGCAGUACACUUCUCAGACGUAACAUGUUUCAACCGUGGUAACACAUCAUGUCACUAUAUUGAUUCAAUGCUAAACAAAUUACUGUCAACAGUCAUAUUGAGAUGAUUGCUGCCACAUUUCUUUCGUCAUUUUGUCUCUCUACAUACUGUUUCUGCCUCCUCAGCUGUAUUGAAAAAGAGGAUGUACAGCUGGUCACAAAACUGCAUAAGCAACUUGUCUUGGAAGCCAGAGCAUGCAAGCUAUGAUGUGUAGGUGUUGCACUGUGUCGGUGCACGUGCACCAACAUAGUGCUUGCGUGCACGCAAGCACACACACGCAACCCCACAAGCAAAGUGAGGCUAGCGUCCAACCUUUUUGCCAACAAAAGCCAGCGACUGCAUCUUCAACUUAUAAGAGCUGGCUUGAUGAGUGCACCAGCCUUUACACUUUCUCUAAACUCCACAUCGAGGUACAUUUGAGCACAUUUGUUUCUGGUAGUUGAAGCAGCAAGGAACACACCUCUAAUGCACAUAGGGUAGAAACACAACUAGAAAACAUCAGGAGCAGAAAGUAAAAGCAAAUUAUAGUUUGUGAGAUCAGAGAAAAUCGUCUAGACGCCCACAUCGGAGUAGCCAUCCAGGCUGUUUGCCAGCCAGCACAGGAAAGAAAACUUAAAACUUUGUGACAAAACUUCUUUUAUUGGUCCUUCAAAUUUACAAGUGGCACCAAGAACAGGCACACGAGAAGCACCAUUUUCUGAAAAAUUAAUAAAUAAUCACCUGCGUGCCUCUGCUACUCUUUUACAGUGCCAGCUGUAACACCACCACCAACACCAUGCAUACAAAUGCAAUUUACGCCUUUCUACUGGUGUGUGCCUGCACUCAAUACCAAAAGCUAUUCUAACCAUGUGGAAAUCCAUGUCGGCUGUUCAAUUUCUGAAACUUGGUUGCAUUCAGAAACUCUUUAUUUUAGAUUAAUACUAUUCUGAGAGCCAUUAUAUUUAAUCCAAAGUUGGUAUGUAACCACAGAAAAAGUUUUGAGCAAUACAGUACUUUAUUAAAACUGAACAGCUUGUAACUGCACAAUGGCAGGCAGGUGGCUAACAAUACAGACUGCAGAAGGCAUGAAUAUGCAUGCAUUGCAACAGUGCACCAGCCAAGCCCAACCAAAAGUUUGCCAGCAAGAGUGAAAAGUCACACUGUCCACUUCAAAGGAACUUUUAAAGGAACAUCUUGUGACUGUGCCCUGGUACGCAGAAUAUUAGGCACAAGUUGUUCAGUGAGGCCAAACUUAAGUCUAACGCAAAGUCUAAAGUUGCAGAGUACUACAGCCGUUGGAUAACAAACAGCAAAAGUGCUAACGCAUUGCUACAGUACCUGCAUCAGACAGGGCUGCAUGCAAUUAUUUGAUGUCUCUCUUUAAUUUAUUUCCUACAUAUGUUUGCAGCAAAUCCCCUGAAUAAAAUAAUUCCAUGGAAUGCCAUGAAAACUGCAGCAGGUGCUACAGUGCUCUUCGUUGUAUAUGUAUCUAAUUAUGAUCAUCUUAGCUUGCACCUUCAUGUGCUCUUCAGUGACAGUUACACAAGUGUGAGAUCAUGUUUAAUUAAAACACGGCCGCACCCCCCCCCCCCCCUUCUGCCCCACAAAUAUGAAUAAACUCAGACCACAGCACAGGAAACCUUAAAACAUGAUGUGAAUCAUAGUCGCCUGGUAAAGAAAACCUUAUUGUGCAACCUGAUACUAUCACACGAUAUUUUUCAUAUGUUCUAUAUACUUCUUACACCACAACAUUUUAUUGAAUUAGGGUGAUCAGAUGAAUGAAAGCUAAUUAAGUAAUGGUCCUUAAAAACAAGGUUGUAUCCUGGCAAAUGCUGAACACUCCAAAACUCUCUAAUAAAGAAAGCCCACCAAAACACGGGAUGCAAGUGAUUCUGCUGAUGGUUUUCAAGGUUGGUUUUAUCACUUCCAAAAAACAUAAUGUACCAGUCCAGGCCAUCUCAAAAUUGUAUCUCGCAAUAUGACUCCCAAGAGCACCUUUCUUUUCUUUUUAGUAGCAAAGAGCGAUACACAACAGGAGAAUUCCGUAAGUGACCCAGCUAGAACAACAAACUCAAAUUUUCUCAUAGUAAGCAAAACUGGUAUCACUAUUCACAACUUGACCAUUUCAUGGGCAAAAAGAUUGUAUGGUGCUUAAACAUUUGUCACCACAAUAUUCGCUUUGCAAAGCAUUUAGUAGUCCCUCAAAAUUUAAUUAAAUUCUGCCCUCCCCGAGUUGUCUGAGAUUAACGGCACAUUUGGCCAAUUCCCACCAUGCUCCAACCUGGUUUUCUACAAUGAGGAGCCCUCUUGAGAUUAAAGCCAGAGGUAGCUUGCCCCAGCCAAACAUGCUAGCUGCUCAGAGUAGCCACAUGAUCCAAGCUUCUGCGGUAUUUCAGUUGCGCUCCCACGUUGAAAGUGGAACGAAGUGCGGCACUCUGUAUGAACCAGGUGAACGUAGCGCUUGAUAUCAACCAGCCGAAUGCAAACCACACUGUGAGCGCAUUCUAGGGCGCUCGACAGUGACCAGUUGAAAGCCCCAUAAUAUAGACGUCAAGUAAGCUCAAGAGUUUGUAUAACAAUGAGACUCAACAGAGAUGCUGAAAAGUGGUCGCAUAUCACAGGCACAGCUUCAACAGGGAGUACUAGCCCAUUCAGUUGGGCACCAUGAUCAGACGGCCAUUCAGUUCACUAACAACACUUCACGAAGAAGAAAUUGCAUUAAGUAUGAAGGUGAUCAUUCUAGGUCGUUCUACACUUUUUUCUCGCUGUCAGAAUGUCAUCUGAUAGUGACAGUCACAUGAUCUAGUACAUUAUAAGUCGGCAUGGACAGCUUAUUGUUGUAUUCACUGCCUUGGGGAUAUCACAAAAGACAGACAGCCUCACUACAUAGAGAUCAUGCUGCCGCAUAACCACACCGAGAUAUACAAACACCAAAUCACCCGCUAUAAAGAAAGUGAGGUACAAAGAAAACAUACACACACAAAAAAUGAAGACAUAUGGUAGAGGCUCAGUGCUUGUAGCGCCAUACUGCUUAGCAUGCACCUAGAGUUAUACUUCAAUGGGAGCGAAAUGCAAGACUUCUCGUGCACUUCGGUGCACGUUAAAGAAGCCCAGAGGCAACGCUUUGUAAGAAUGCCUUUCAUGUGAUUCUAUUCAUUUUGUUAUCAUACGAUGCACUGAAUGCAGCAGUAAUGUCCAGUGACGAGAGGCAAAAAAGAAUGAGAAAUAAAAAUAAUUGCUAUGAAAUACGGCCCUAGGGGUGUUGUCAACAUAAUUUGGAGCCAUGCAUUAUGACAUUUCUCAUUGUUAAAUCUACACAUUCAGUGCGUUAUACCUCAUCAACCACUUUUACAUAUGUAUACAGUUGAAUCUCGAUAUAAACUCAGAAGACCGUGGUAAAUUGUUAAUUAUUCUGAAAGAUCAUUAUAGUGAAAGCCCCAAAAUUAACCAUUCUGCUCGUCAACCCAUCAGUUCAUAAGUUGUCACCAUAUGUGUUAUUCACGAAAACAUCGCUGUUGGCUCUUGGCACAUGCUGUUGCUAUUUUCCAUAGAUUCCACCACCACAAAGCACCAUAUGAAAGAGUGACACGCGCAAUACAGACACUGACACCAAGAAAACUAUCGACAAAAAGGUAGCUCCAUGUUGCCUCCAAAGCGCAAUGUUUCUUGCUUUUUGUUUGUUUUUCGCAUUUCUUGCCGUGGACACCGUAACUGUCUCGCUUGAGGCAGACACCUGGGGCCAUAUUUUGAAACGAUCUACUUCAGUGAUGCUAUCACCAUUGGUCACGCCUUCGCAAUGUACGCACACUGAUUGGCUGUUCUAGCAAAAUCAGAUGACCUACGUCAUCCGAUGUUGCUCAAUCAGCCAAUCAGCAUGCACCUGACCGUGAAGGCAUGGCCGAGGCGAUAGUAUUGCUGAAGUGGAUUGUUUCAGAAUACAGUCCCUGAGCUAUGUCAAAGCACAAGCGCACGUGAACGACACCGUCUGGAAGGUGCAAAGUGCGACUCUGUGGCACCCCCGCGAAUCCGGAAGUUGCAUUUCACCACGCACAAAGUACGGCCGCAGAUAGAAGCGCGAAAAAAAGAGGUGUGCACAGAAAGAAGGGUGAAAGAAGGAAGAGACGCGCCUUCAUUGCUAGUCGACGCUCUUCUGCGCGAAGCAUGCCGCUUGCCCGCAUUCUUUCUUUCUCGGGCACUGUCUCAGAUUUUGAGAACCCAUGUGCCAUGACGUCUGCUCUCUGCACCUUGUCGUCUACUAGCCUACUGUUUCGUCUGCCGUGAAGGAUACACAGAAAUCUAAAUAUUCCCAGAUUUUGUAAUAUUAGUUCGUAGUACUGAGGCAUUGUUAACAUUACAGGGAAACUGAAUAACGAUCAUUAUUCUGAAAAGUUCGGUAUUAUGAAGUUUGUAGUACCUAUAUAUUUUUAUAUUGAACCUAUAAGAAAGUCAGCGGGGAACUUCUGAAAAGUUUGUUAAUCUGAAAAGUUUGUUAACGUAGUGUUUGUAGUAACGAAGUUUCAAUGUAUGUAUUUAAAGUGAGAAUGCAGUGUUGGGACACAAGAAUUAGGUGAUGAUGCUCAUCAAUAAAUAAUAUGCUCGAGAAAUGUUUUUAAAGAGUAAGAUCUGUCUAAUUAUUGUGACACACAAACAUUAGCGAAUACAGAAAGAGCAGUCACAUUAACGAAUACAGAAAGAGCAGUCUAAUUAGUGACAGAGAGAAAGGACUAUUUCUAUGACAUUUCACUCCAUCCAGAAAAAUGAGAAUGUGAUAAUGCAGUUACUGGAAUGCUUACACUGCUCUGACCACAAGCCAUGUAACAUUCUAAACAUGCAGAAAUACUCAGAUGUGCAACUGAGUUUCAUAAUGAUAAAAGCCCGAUGGACCCUUGUUUUGCGGCAAUAUUGAAAGUUGCAUACUCAGCCACUGCUUCAACCAUUGGAGAUCAAGUUUAAAAGGACAAAGAAUAAUGAAAAUAUCAAAGCUCAUUACAUCUGACAUGAAAAUACUAUCAUUAUAUACAAUAUGUAUUAUAAGCAUACACUUGUUAACACUAAUAUUGGCAAAAAAAAAGUUCUCAAUUUACUUUCUUAUAAUAAUUUGCUCGUUUAUAUAUUUUAGUAAUACAUAGGAAUUAUGGAGAGGAGUGGUUACAUCAUUUCAUUAACUCGUAACUUAUCCAUCCUUGUUAUAUAGAAGCUCAACUGUGCUAAGUCAAGCACGGCAGUUUAACAUACUAAGGCAUCCAAAGUAUAUCACUUUUACCACGCACAGCGCUUCUAUAAACA